CCUACGGGUGGCAGCAGUGAGGAAUAUUGGUCAAUGGGAGAGAUCCUGAACCAGCCAAGCCGCGUGAGGGAAGACGGCCCUAUGGGUUGUAAACCUCUUUUGUCGGAGAACAAAACCCGGGACGUGUCCCGGACUGCGUGUAUCCGAAGAAAAAGCAUCGGCUAACUCCGUGCCAGCAGCCGCGGUAAUACGGAGGAUGCGAGCGUUAUCCGGAUUUAUUGGGUUUAAAGGGUGCGUAGGCGGUCCGUUAAGUUAGCGGGAAAAUUGCGGGGCUCAACCCCGUCGAGCCAUUGAUACUGGCAGACUUGAGUGGGCGAGAAGUACGCGGAAUGCGCGGUGUAGCGGUGAAAUGCGUAGAUAUCGCGCAGAACUCCGAUUGCGAAGGCAGCGUACCGGCGCCAGACUGACGCUGAGGCACGAAAGCGUGGGGAUCGAACAGGAUUAGAUACCCCGGUAGUC
rnacentral:rRNA from 1 species